rnacentral:rRNA from 1 species
CCUGCCCACUGAAAUUUUGAAUGGCCGCAGUAAUUUGACUGUGCAAAGGUAGCAUAAUCAUUAGUUUUUUAAUUAAAAGCUAGUAUGAAGGGUUGGACGAGGUAAAUUCUGUCUUUAUUUAAUUUAUAAUAGAAUUUAAUUUUUAAGUUAAAAAGCUUAAAUAUUAUUAAAAGACGAGAAGACCCUAUAGAUCUUUAUAUUUAUAUAUAUAAAAUUAAUAUAGGUUUUUUUAGGUUUUAUAUAUAAAUUUAUUUUAUUGGGGUAAUAGAAAGAUUAAAAAAAUUCUUUUUUUUAUUUAACAUUAAUUUAUGAUAUUUAAUGAUCCAUUUAUAAUGAUUAUAAGAUUAAGUUACCUUAGGGAUAACAGCGUAAUUUCUUUUAAGAGUUCAUAUCGAUAAAGAAGAUUGCGACCUCGAUGUUGGAUUAAAAAUUAUUUUUGGUGUAGAAGCUAAAAAAUUUGGUCUGUUCGACC